GAACCGUUAUAACCGGCGAUACCCGAAUGGGGAAACCCAGUGUGACUCGUCACACUAUCAUUAACUGAAUCCAUAGGUUAAUGAGGCGAACCGGGGGAACUGAAACAUCUAAGUACCCCGAGGAAAAGAAAUCAACCGAGAUUCCCCCAGUAGCGGCGAGCGAACGGGGAGGAGCCCAGAGCCUGAAUCAGCAUGUGUGUUAGUGGAAGCGUCUGGAAAGGCGCGCGAUACAGGGUGACAGCCCCGUACACAA
rnacentral:rRNA from 1 species